rnacentral:tRNA from 1 species
GCCUGGGUAGCUCAGUUGGUUAAGCGUCUGACUUUGGUUCAGGUCAUGAUCUCACGGUUCGUGGGUUCGAGCCCCGCGUCGGGCU